GAUGAACGCUGGCGGCGUGCCUAAUACAUGCAAGUCGAGCGAAUGACGAGGAGCUUGCUCCUCUGAUUUAGCGGCGGACGGGUGAGUAACACGUGGGUAACCUGCCUGUAAGACGGGGAUAACUCCGGGAAACCGGAGCUAAUACCGGAUGAUAACGAGAAGCGCCUGCUUCUUUUUUGAAAGUCGGUUUCGGCUGACGCUUACAGAUGGGCCCGCGGCGCAUUAGCUAGUUGGUGAGGUAACGGCUCACCAAGGCGACGAUGCGUAGCCGACCUGAGAGGGUGAUCGGCCACACUGGGACUGAGACACGGCCCAGGCUCCUACGGGAGGCAGCAGUAGGGAAUCUUCGGCAAUGGACGAAAGUCUGACCGAGCAACGCCGCGUGAGCGAUGAAGGCCCUCGGGUCGUAAAGCUCUGUUGUCAGAGAAGAACAAGUACCGGAGUAACUGCCGGUACCUCGACGGUACCUGACCAGAAAGCCACGGCUAACUACGUGCCAGCAGCAGCCGUAACAC
rnacentral:rRNA from 1 species